rnacentral:lncRNA from 1 species
UUUUUUUAGGUUAGGGUUUUUUCAAAUAAUGAAAAAAUGAAAAUGGAAGAAGGGGGGUGUUUGUUUGGGUUAUGGGGCGGACUGGGUCGGGUCGACCCGGUGGGGUUAUUUGGUUUGGGCCAUGGUUGAUUUAAAUUAGAAGGUGGCCCAAUCCGAUUUUCUUCCUCUUUUAUUGCUUCUUUUUUUCUUCUUUUAUUUUUUCUUAAACUAAAACUAAAUUCUAAAAAUCCUAAACCAUCCUAUAGAACUAAAUUAAUUUAUAAAAGUGCAAAGUAACUCUCAAUACCAAUUAACACACAAUUAAAUAGCAAUUACGAUAAAAAUCACACAAUUCGAACAUUAAAUGCUAAAUAUGCAACGUACAAUAUUUUUAUGAUUUUUUGUUCUUGUAAAACAAACUUAGUUGCUCCUAAUUGUAGAAUUAAAUCCUAAAUGCAAAUGCGACAUAUUUUUGUAUUUUUUUUUAUUAAUUUAACAAAUAAACAUGCAUGGACAAAUACAAAUAAUUAUCCAAAAAUGCCACAAAAUCCUCAAAAUUGCACACAAAAGGAAAAUUGUUUUUUAAUUUGAAUUUUUGGGAGUAAUUCUCAUAUAGGGCAAAAAUCGCGUGUUUACAGUUGGUUAUUCUAUUAUAAUAUCUCUCGAUUCUUUAUUUUUGUACAGCCAUUCGAACGAGAGUGGCUUCUCGUUUUUCAUCCAUUAGUUCGAAGCUAGUAUUUAUAGCCUGUGAUUUGAUUCUUCCAUUGUAUGUCGAAAUCUGGCGCUAGGUUCCCCGACUUCGACUGGAAUCAGUGCUUCAGAGCCAUAUACUAAGGAGAACGGGUUUGCCCCAUACUAGACUUCGAUGUCGUUCGAUAUUCCCAACAGACCUCGGGUAAAAUCUCCAUUUUCCCUUGGCAUCGUUCAAUCUUUUCUUCAAAUUCUGAAUGAUAGUUUUGUUUGUUGACUCGACCUGUCCGUUUCCAAUUGGAUGAUACGAUGCCGAUAAGAUCCUUUUUAUUUUAUGUUCUUCGAGAAACUUCAUUACCUUGCUGCCGAUGAAUUACUUUCUGUUGUCGCAUAUGAUUUCGGCAGGUAUCCUGAAUCGGCAUAUGAUGUGAUCCCAGAUGAAGUCUAUAACUUUUUUUCUAUGAAUUUCUCGAAGGCUUGUGCUUCCACCCAUUUAGAAAAGUAGUCAGUCAUAAACAAAAUGAAUUUAGAUUUACUUGUAGUCGAUGGCAGAGGGCCAACGAUAUCCAUCCCCCAUUUCAUGAAUGGCCAUGGGGAUAAGACCGAAUGAAGUUGUUCCCCGGGCUGAUGGAUCAUCGGCGCAUACCUUUGGCAUUUAUCACAUUUUCAAAUAAACUCCUUAGCGUUUUUUCCAUACUAUCCCAAUAGUAUCCUGCUCUGAUGAUUUUGUGAACUAGUGAUUCAGCACCUGAGUGGUUCCCACAAGUACCUUCAUGGAUUUCUCGUAGAACAUAAUCGAUGUCCCCUGGUCUCAAACAUACUGCUAAUGGUCUGUCGAACGUCCUCUUGUACAAUGUUCCAUCUUUAGCCUAUGUGAAUCGAGCAGCAUUUGUCCGUAGGGCCCUCGAUUCUUUAGGGUUCGACAGGAGCUUUCCGGUUUUCAAGUACUCGAUAUAUUUAUUUCUCCAAUCCCAAGUUAAGUUUGUGGAGUUUAUCUCAGCGUGACCUUCUUCGAUCACCGAUCUCGAGAGUUGAAUGAUCGUCCCCGAGCUAAUUUCGUCCUCCUGGACUGACGACCCCAAAUUUGCAAGAGCAUCGGCUUCGUUGUUCUGCUCGCGAAGUACGUGCUGUAAGGUCCAUUUUUUAAAAUAGUGCAAAGUCACUUGUAGCUUAUCCAAAUACCUUUGCAUUCUAUCCUCUCGAACCUCGAAGGUUUUGUUUACUUAGUUUACUACCAGCGUAGAGUCUCACUUGGCUUCAAUGACUUCCGCCCCCAAGCUUUUAGCUAGUUCGAGACCUGCAAUCAAAGCCUCAUACUCAGCCUUAAUUUUAGUCAACUUAGAAGUUUUGAUAGAUUAUCUAAUAGUGUUUCCCGUGGGCGGCUUCAAAAUGAUGACUAGACCAGACCACUUCACAUUCGAGGCGCCGUCUGUGAAAAGGAUCCACACCUUCGAUGAUGUACCUGAUUUUAAUAAGAGUUCCUUCUCGACUUCGGGUACGAGGGUUGGCUUGAAAUCAGCCACGAAGUCUGCUAAAAUUUGAGAUUUGAUGGCCAUUCGGGAUUGAUAUUCGAUAUCAUACCCACUGAGUUCGACGACCCAUUUGACCAAUCGGCUCGAUAGCUCGGGUUUAUGCAAAACAUUACGAAGUGGGUAAGUGGUUAGUACACGUAUGUGGUGAAAUCAGAAAUAAGGUUUUAACUUCCUAGAGGUGCUUAUCAAAGUAAGUGCCAAUUUCUCUAAGUGUGGAUAUCUAGUUUCUACUUCUCCUAGAGUUCGACUUACAUAAUAAAUAGGAAAUUGCGUACCUUGCUCUUCUCGAACCAGGACACCACUUACCGCGAUCUUUGAGUCUGCUAAGUAUAAGUAGAGGUUUUCAUCUACCUUUGGAGUAUGAAGCAAUGGUGGGCUCGAGAGGUAUCGCUUCAAUUCUUCUAACGCCUGUUUGCAUUCCGGGGUCCAGGAGAAAUUGUUCUUCUUUUUGAGUAGAGAGAAGAAUCUAUGACUCUAAUUCGAUGAUCUCUAUAUGAAUCGGCCUAAGACAGCUAUCCGCCUCAUUAGCCUUUGCACGGCUUUAACACUAUCCACGACGGUGAUGUCUUCGAUAGCCUUGAUUUUAUCGGGGUUGAUCUCGAUUCCCCGAUUUGACACCAUAAAGCCAAGGAACUUUCCCAAACCGACCCCAAAAACAAAUUUCUCGGGGUUAAGCUUCAUGUUGUAUUUUCUCAGUAUGUUGAAUAUUUCCUGCAAAUGUGUCAAAUGGUCCUCUGCGCGCAGGGACUUAACUAGCAUGUCAUCAAUAUAUACUUCCAUUGAUUUACCUAUCUGUUCUUCGAACAUUUUAUUUACUAGGCGUUGGUAGGUAGCUCCUAUGUUUUUAUCUCGAAGGGCAUUACAUUAUAACAAUAUGUUCCAUACUUGGUGAUGAAUGAAGUCUUUUCUUGGUCUUCCGUGUUCAUUUGAAUUUGAUUGUACCCGGAAUAAGUAUCGAGAAAACUAAGGAUCUCGUGGCCGGCCGUGGCGUCGAUCAUGUGAUCGCUGUUAGGAAGUGGAAAAGAAUCUUUGAGACAUGCCUUGUUUAAGUCUUUAUAAUUUACACACAUCCUAAGUUUAUUCCCUUUUUUGGGAACUACAACUAUAUUAGCUAACCACUCGGGGUACUUUACUUCCCGAAUGGACCCUAUUUUGAGAAGUUUAGUUGCCUCGUCCUUUAUGAAUGUAUGCUUUACCUCAGACUAGGGCCUUCUCUUCUAUUUCACUGGUCUGAACUUUAGGUCCACGCUUAGCCAAUGUGUUGUUAUUUCCGGCGGGAUCUCUGUCGUGUCUAAGUGGGACCAAGAAAAACAAUCUAUAUUAUCAAUAAGAAAAUGAAUAAGAUUUUUCUUGUGUUCGGGGGUUAACCCCGUUCCCAGGUAUACCUCAAUAUAACCUAUUCCAGCUCUUCGACCAUUGAUUUGGUUGCGUCGAAAUCUUCGAGAACAACAAAAGUUUGAGGGGUCAAAAAAUCUUCCUCUUCUUCUUCUUCUAUUUCCUGGUUCUCCGGUCCGGUCUAGGCUGGUGGCAAUGAUUACUAUUUGGCUUUCUAUUGACCUUUAAUGCUCGAUCCUUCCGAUGUUGAUAGUGCCGAAAUCGGUAUUACCUUAUCGACCACGAACAUUUCCUUUGCAGUAUGCUGCUCCCGCACAUUGUUUUUACCCCGUCUGACGUUGGGAAUUUCAUCAUUUGGUAGAGAGUCGAAGGGACUACCCUCAUGUUGUGGAUCCAAGGCCUCCCGAGUAGGCAGCUGUUCCUCAUGUUGCCUUCGAUUACGUGAAACUUGGUAUCUUGGAUAAUUCCAGCCACGUUUACCGGUAGGACAAUCUCUCCUUUAGUUGUUUCACUGGCUAUAUUGAAACCGUUCAAGACCCGAGUUGCGGGAACAAUCUGAUCUUGUAGGCCGAGUUGCUCCACGACCGUCGAUCGGAUAAUGUUUGCUGAGCUACCUGGAUCUACUAAAGCACGCUUAACUUGAACUUUAUUUAACAAGAUAGAGGUUACCAGAGCAUCGUUGUGAGGCUGAGAAAUUCCUUCUGCCUCCUCAUCGUUGAAUGAUACGGUACAUUCUGGCACAUAAUCUGGGGUCAGUUUCUCCCUAAUAAUUAAUACCUUAGUGCGUUUGAACACGUGCCCUUGUGGAAUAUCGACCCCUUUGACGAUCAUAUGAAUUACAUGUUGUGGAUCUUCCUGUUCAAUUUUCUUGUUGGCGUCCCUUUCCCUGAAAUUAUUCUUGGCUCGAUCACUUAGGAAUUCUCGAAGGUGGCCCUCAUUGAAUAAACGGGCUACCUCCUCUCUCAAUUUCCUGUAAUCCUCAGUCCUAUGACCAUGUGUACCAUGAUAUUUACACAUCAGAUUGGGGUUCCUUUGGGAAAGAUCGAUCUGUAUAAGCCUAGGCCAUCUGGUGUCUUUGAUUCUUCCAAUUGCUGAUACAUACCUGAUGCAUCGAUACUAAAAUUAUACUCCGAUAAUUAAGGUGCCUCUAUGGGGUCAGCGUACUUGUCAAAACCAUUUUUGCUUAUGAGUCCCCGAGUAUUCUGUCCACGAUCGCUUCUUCGAUUGUUCCAGGCGUGAUUGCGUCCUGUACCACUGUUCCUGCGAUCUGAGUUGUACGGUUGAUAUCGAUCUUUGUUCGAUCUUGGCUCUCUAUCGAUGUCCCUCUGAUUUUUGGCGGCUGACCUGUUCGGGUGAACUGAAUUGGAAGGAGCUCAUAAUUGGUUAUCCUCUACCCUAAUUUUCGAUUGGUACAGAUUAUGUACAUCUGCCCAAGUUACAACCGGAUAUUCGAUCAGAUUUUGCUUCAGCUGACAUGAUGCUUUCGAACUUUGUUCAUUCAAUCCCUGAGUGAAAGCUUGAACGACCCAAUCAUCUAUGACCGAUGGCAACUCCAUGUGGUCCAUUUGAAAUUAGUAUACAAACUCCCUCAACAUUUCAUUAUCCCUAUAUCUUACUUUGAAAAGGUCCAAUUUCCUUGUCGCAACCUUUAUGACUCCGGCAUGUGCCUUUAUGAAAGAGUCUGCUAACAUGGCAAAUGAGUCGAUAGAAUUGGGUGGUAUAUUGUGGUACCAGAUCAUUGCUCCCUUCGAUAGGAUUUCCCCGAACUUCUUCAAUAAAAUAGAUUCGAUCUCAUCAUCUUCCAAAUCGUUACCCUUAAUGGUGUAUGUGUAGGAGGUGACAUGCUCAUGGGGAUCGGUGAUACCAUUGUAUUUAGGUGUGUCCGGCAUACGAAAGCUUCUUUGGAAUAGGUUUCGGAGCCGCACUCGAAGGGAAUGACUUUUGUACAAAUUUCUUCGAAUCCAUCCCUUUCAAGAUUGGUGGUGCCCCUGGUAUCUGAUCAACUCGGGAUUUUUAUGUUUCCACUUUUUUAUCAUUAGCUUCGAUUUUCUUCUCUCCUGACUCAAUUCUUUUGGUGAGCUCUUCGAGCAUUUUUAUUAUUGCAGGAUCAGUCCCCGAUUCAUUAUCAUUCGACCUUUCUAGCACUGGCUCGGUACGGCGAGUGAUUUCUGGCUCGACCCCACUCGGAAUUCUAUGUUGAUUUUGUAACUGAGCAAUAGCGGCCUGUUGAGCCUAUAACAUCUCGAAUAUCACCUGGAGACUAACUCCUCCGUCUCCUCUGCGUUGUGUGCCUUGGCCACCAGAUCGACCUUCUCUGCGUACACUCCCUUCGGGGUUUGCGCCUAGGUUCGCAUUUAAAGCAACGUGCGAACUAACACCAACUGGAUUGGCAACCGGUGCUCCCCCGAGAUUAGCCUGUGGCACCUCGGCUCCUGGAGCGAUUACAUUGUCGUUUUUCCCGUGAAACCCGAGACCAUCUUCACCCUGUGUGGGUGCGUUUUGUGAGUUCUACAUGUUUUAACCUGAGAGCAAAGAUACUUGACAAGAGCAAGCGUAAAAUAACGUGUGUUAUCAGAAUCAACACUGAACAAUCACUAUUAUCCUUAGCCCCACAGUGGGCGCCAAACUGUUUACCCUCAAAUUCGGAUAACAAUUAAACUUAUAUUGUGGUUUUAAGGAUACGUGAUCUCGUUCAAUACUAAUUGAUAAGCAAGAAAAUAAAUGAAUAAAUUAAAGAAUAAAAUAAAUCAAACCAGUAUACUAGCCGGGUCUCGACCUCGACUUGGGGUAGUCUCGAGGUGGGAUCGUAAGAAUGAUAAAGCAACUAUGAUGAACAAUAAGUGAAAUAGCAGGAAAGAAUGUAUAUAUUCUUAUCAGUGAACAGUGAAUGUUACAAAAGAAUGGGAUCCUUCUUUAUAUAAUAGAGGAGUCCUAAAUAAGGUACACUUCUAAUUAUAGUAAGAAACCAUAUUAACAUCUAAUUAACCGCUAUAGAUUGAUCCAUUCCGAGAUUCACGCCACGAUCCUCGACCAAUCGCGGAUAUCUCGCUUUUUCUGUUAUCAAGCUAAGCUGAAGUCACUCGAAGUCUGUCUUUUUCUGGUCGCAAUCGAUGUCUACCUCGAUCCGGACUGGACGUCUCAGCUCUUUGACGUGAUGUUCCUAUCUCGACCAAAGAAUGAAAUCGGGUAGCCCCGAUUUCUACCGUAUACAUUGCCAUUCCUUAUUAUUAAAUGAUUCUAUUUUAUCCUUUAUCCUACCUAUUUAUAUAAUAAUUCUAUCUCCUAUCUUAAUUUUUCUUUAUAAUAUUGUAAGUUUAUUCUUCAUAUUAUUUGUACAUGACAUCAUGAUACGACGAUAAACAAUACAACAUAUCCAAACAUUGUAUACAUUAGAACGAUACAGUACGAUACAAUACAUGAUACAUUACGAAACAAUACAUAACAACCAUCCAAACAACCUGGUAAUGAAAUUCUUAUUUUUUACAAUCUUUAUUUAAUUUCAUGGAAAAGACAGUAUUCAUAACCAAUUAGAGAAACUAUGUCACAUAAAGACUCUUCAUAGCCAAUCAUAGAAAGUAUAUUACACAUAUCAAGACAUCAUUUCACUCACAUAUACAGAAGUUUACUACAAUCAAACAAAACCAGCUGCUAUAUAUAUAUAAAAUCAGUCACCACAUCACAAGUGCAGUAGUUGACAUAGAGAUGAAAGAUAUAAAUAGAAUAUUAUUGUGGAAUGUUUCAGGGAAUGAGGGCAAGGGGCUAAACCAGGAGAAGAGACAAGAAAUAAAUAAGACCAGUUGUUGAUGUGAAGAUGAAGUGCUGUUUCAGGGAUAGGGCUGAACUAUGAUUAGGACGAGCUCGACGAUGAAUUAUUCCUUUUGGCACCUUCAUAUCAUCCACUAUAAAUUCCUUGUUUUCUACUAACUCAUACUUAUUUCCAUCUUUGUGCGAACUGACUCUAACAAGAGUACUGUCCGCGCCAUUUUCUUGCUUUUCGACAGCUUUGCUUUUGCUUGUAGAUGCAUGAGAAAUUUCAGAAGAAGCAGCACUUGUUAGAGCUACAACGCAUAACAAAAUAACAACACAAAGAGGGAAACUAAACUUCAUUUUUCUUAUUAAUUGGAGCUAAAAUAUACCUUAAAUGGUCUCAGUUAUCUUUCCUUUUCCUGUAGGAGCUAGCUGACUGUGUAAGAGGGUGUAUAUAUAAGAAGAUCUUCCCUGGGAUUGUAUAUAUUAUUCUUUUCUUUUCCUUCUUUCUUAAUCAAUAAUCUCCAUCCACCUUAAUUUUUGGGCAUAGAUGCCCAACCCCACAAAUGGAACCAAAACAUUGCUCUCCUUAAAAGCUUAUGUAAACCAACAACAACGACAUAACAAGUGUAAUCUUACAAGUGAGGUUACA